rnacentral:rRNA from 1 species
GAUGAACGCUGGCGGCGUGCCUAAUACAUGCAAGUCGAGCGAACAGACGAGGAGCUUGCUCCUCUGACGUUAGCGGCGGACGGGUGAGUAACACGUGGAUAACCUCCCUAUAAGACUGGGAUAACUUCGGGAAACCGGAGCUAAUACCGGAUAAUAUCUUGAACCGCAUGGUUCAAUAGUGAAAUACGGUUUUGCUGUCACUUCUCGAUGGAUCUGCGCCUCUUUAGCUGGUUGGUGAGUUAACGGCUUACGAAGGGGACGAUGCCUAGCCGACCUGAGUGGGGGAUGGGGCACAGGGAAGCUGAGCCACGGUCAGACGCCUACGGGAGGCAGCAGUAGCGAAUCUUCCGCAAUGGGCGAAAGCCUGACGGAGCAACGCCGCGUGAGUGAUGAAGGUCUUCGGAUCGUAAAACUCUGUUAUGAGGGAAGAACAAAUGUGUAAGUAACUAUGCACGUCUUGACGGUACCUAAUCAGAAAGCCACGGCUAACUACGUG